rnacentral:rRNA from 1 species
GGGUCAGUAGGUUGGUCAUGCCUCUGGUAUGUACUGGUCUCACUGAUUCCUCCCUCCUGAUGAGCCGUAGUGCCAUUAAUUUGGUGUUGCGGGGAAUUUGGACUGUUACUUUGAAAAAAUUAGAGUGUUUAAAGCAGGCCAAUUGCUUGAAUACAUUAGCAUGGAAUAAUGAAAUAGGACGUUCGAUCCUAUUUUGUUGGUUUCUAGGAUUGACGUA